AAGAAUGAAAUAAACAACUUAAUAUGAUAGAAAAUAACUCAAGAGUUGGUCAGAAUUAUGUCCUCUAGGGCAGUGACAUUUUACCUAAGACUCCAAUGUUGAAAAACAGCUAGUUCAUGAAAGGGCCUGGGGAAGUGUAGAAGGUCAUGAAGUUAGAAUGGAUUUGGCUAGAUCUAGAAAGAGAAACAAGAUUACUGAGUAAUAGUGAACAAGAGAGGAAUAACAGAAUGUGAAACAUAACAAGAUUCAAAUAAUGUAAGAAUUUCUGGACAAAGGUGAAAGUUUGUGUUUCAUUCUGAUUUCAAAGCAAAGUCAUAGUAAGGUUUUAAUCAGGAGAAUGGCAUGAUCCAAUUUGUUGAUUGAAGAGACUCUUCUUGCUGUUCUGUAGUUAGCUGUCCAUGUGGCAGAUGAGAAUUACAAGAUGGAUGGAGAAGAAUGGGGUUGGCCAGGGUGGUGUCUUCAAUGAUGGAGAGCAGUAGAGAUUCAGGAUGUAUUGUACAGGUAAGGCCAGAGGGCUUUGGAUAGAUGACAUUUAGCCAUGACAUGCAUCCAGUGCUUAUCACCAGAACUAUUCAUUUUUUAAAAAAAUAUAAUGCAUAUAUACCAGCUGAUAUAUAAUCACUAUUUCUAGCUUCCUAAGUGCUUCCCCUCAAUCACAUUGAACUCUCUCCUCCAGAAUACUCCAGAUGUCUCUACUUCAUCAAGGAAGCAAAUGUCUUCAUCAUCAGAAAAACCAGAGUCCUUUCUCCAAGAAGAGGAAGACUCACCAGGGAAUCCAGCACAGGAAGGAAAGAUCCUAAGAGGACUCAGCCAUCUACAAGCCACACACAAAAGCCUCAGGAGAAACCAUGCUGACACUGAAUGGAUGCCCAGCCUCUAGACCUAUGGGAAAAUAAAUUUCUGUUGCUUAAAUCA